rnacentral:rRNA from 1 species
CCUACGGGAGGCAGCAGUGGGGAAUAUUGCACAAUGGGGGAAACCCUGAUGCAGCGACGCCGCGUGAGUGAAGAAGUAAUUCGUUACGUAAAGCUCUAUCAGCAGGGAAGAAACACUGACCUUACGGUCAGCAGACGGUACCUGAGUAAGAAGCCCCGGCUAACUACGUGCCAGCAGCCGCGGUAAUACGUAGGGGGCAAGCGUUAUCCGGAUUUACUGGGUGUAAAGGGAGCGUAGACGGCGAGGCAAGUCUGGAGUGAAAGCCCGGGGCUCAACCCCGGGACUGCUUUGGAAACUGCCUGGCUAGAGUGCUGGAGAGGCAAGCGGAAUUCCUAGUGUAGCGGUGAAAUGCGUAGAUAUUAGGAAGAACACCAGUGGCGAAGGCGGCUUGCUGGACAGUAACUGACGUUGAGGCUCGAAAGCGUGGGGAGCAAACAGGAUUAGAUACCCGAGUAGUC